GGAAACUAUUUAGUUUAUGGGAGGACUUUGACCCAGACUCUUAUUGCACUCUGGUUUGUUGAGCUGGCUUCACCGUGAACACAGUACGCUUCCAGGUUCUCUCCAGUGUCAGAUUAUCCUGCUGCCAUGAAUCCUACUCUCGUCGUUUGCAUUUUGCUGUGUUCCCUUCCGCCUGUUGACUCCAGUUCAGAUGUUUAUAAUACCACGCCUGAACCAAUUCACUGCAUGACUCUGGAAUGGGGCCUAAUAGGCGGUGUCAUUGGAACGGUCAUUGUUGCUGUGCCAGCGAUUGUCUUUUUCUUAGUAAAAAGACGUAAGGCAAAGAAAAGUAUUGCCACCCUGAAAGAAGUGAAAAGGGAGCUAGAGAACCAGAAAAGUCAACUCACACAACAACUCGAAGACAUAGAGACUGAAAGGGAUGAAAACAAAGCUCAACUUCAGCAACUGGGGACCAAAAUAUCAGACAGUGAAAGCUCUGAUCGCAAAUCUUUGUUAUUAAGACAAAAGGAAGAACUGUUAAAGUCCCAGUGGGAAUUGGAUGUGAAAAAAAAACAAUUUCAAAAACAGCUACUGAACAUUGAGAGAGCGCUGGAACCUACAGAGAUUGAGAAGUUACGCAAGCUAAACAGAUCUUCAAAUAUUUGAGAGAAAAAUCGAAUUUAGAUUUACAGCCAGAUUAGACAAUCAGCAUAUUUUAUAGCAGAAAAGCAAAGACAUGCAGUUUAUUGGAAUUAUUGUAGAAAAAAAUCACAGAUUCUAGAUUUCUAAAAGACAAAUGACUAAAUCAAAUGACUAAAUCAAAUGCAUCUUUAAAUUUGCAAUAUAUCAUAGGUAUUUAAAUUUCCAGGGUAAAGAAUGUAGUGAGCUAAGUUAACUAAACAAGUUUGAGAAAGACUGAACAAAUGUUUGGUUGUUUUUUGAGCCAAGCCUGUUAAUGGUUGAAUCUCCUCCACAGAGCAAAAUUUAUUACAUUUAUGAAGGUAGGUGACAUGAAUUUUAGUAAUUACAGCUUCACAUUAGAACACUUGUGCAAUUAGUAAAAUCUAAGAAAUUAUUUAAAAAACUAUGCAUAUGUGUGCGUAAGGCUGCUUGCUGCAAAGGAAAUGGUGAAUGCUGCGUGCACUGCAGGGCUACAAGUAAAAGCAGGAUAGAAUAGUGAUGAGCAGUGACAAAUAUCUUUGUGGGGGUAUCAGUUAACAUGAGUUUACUCAGACAUACCUGAGCAAAACCAUGGUAACAGAAAAAUAAAAAAGCUUGCUAUAAUUUUUUGAAAAAAAAAAAAAAAAAAAA